UGGCAGCUGUACCCUCUCGGCCCACUGGGGUGGCAGCCCCAAACCUCUCAGUCCAAGGAGGCGCUGUUGGAUAGGGCUCUGCAUCUGUGGCUCUUUCUUCAGGGAAGAAAAAUGGAACUAAAAAGGGAAAACAAUAGCAACAAAGAUCAAAAUAAAUAACAAGGAAGCGGAGAGAAGAAAGAACAUGGUGAAGAGAGUGAAACGCAUUGUCAUUUGGGGUGAAUUGCAGAAAGAAAUAAAUUAUUGUUCUUAUAUAUAAGUGAGAUCAUGCAG
rnacentral:lncRNA from 1 species